ensembl:lncRNA
CACUGGGGUAACCCGGCACGGUGAGCGAACCACCACCUCCUGAAAGAGGACACAACUUUGCUGGGAAAAAGCCAAAAAUGUGGAAUCCCGUCACCCACUAGGACCGGUCUCUCCGUACAGGAGCUCCAGGGCUAGGAGAGCCCAGAAUGAGUGGAGAAGCAGGCUAUUUAAGCCCUGCUUCUCCACCUGUUCCUCAGGUGCUCUGCAUGUUCUUAAUUGGCCCGGGCCAGGUUGCCACACUCCUCCACCCUUUGUUGAAGCCUCGGGUGGCCUUUCGGAGGAGCGGCGGUCCUCGUCUCCCGCUGCCUCGUGUCUCGCGGCCUAGUCUCCCGCGGCCUCAUCUCGGCCUGCGUCGUCUCUGGCGGUUUCGUCUCUGGCUGUGUCAUCUCUGGCUGCAUCGUCUCUGGCUGCAUCGUCUCGGCAGGAGGGGGGCGAGGGGGCGGAGAAGGACGAAGCCGAGUGUUGACAGAGAAUGCUGAAAGCGCCCAGAUGAGAGGAAGAGUUUCCCUAAAAUCUACAUAGUUUUUUUGUGCUGUGAUUCGUGUCAGGUUGCUCUAUAGGAGUCAUUAAUAAGAAAUGAAGACCAGAAAAGUAGUAUAAUUGGAGAUCUUUAAGUGUUUGCCCAGCAACCUUGCUGACCAUGACAAGGAGAAAUACCAGGCAAUAGAACAGAAAAGUAAAAUGCUCUCAACAAAGGAGUGAUAUCAAAUCAUAUCUCAUAUAUAAAAGUAACAUCAUAUCUCUAUCCACUCUAAAUUGUCUUAACUUGCGCAUAAAACAGCCUCUACAGCCCCUUUUUAUUAAUGGUGUCUGUAGGAGACCACUAGCGAUGUUUCUUCUUUAACACAAUGUUUACUUACAAAUUUCCUGUAGCUCACAAAAUUAUUAUUCCUUGUCUUGUCCUUUCUAUAAAAGCAGUCUUGAACCGGGGUCCCUGGAUUGUUUGGGGGGGUCCAACUCAUUUGUGUAGACUAUAUAUAGAGGCCUAUCUAUUUUUGGUAUUAUAUUUUGAAAUAAUAUUUUCUGGUUGCAAUUUCGGCCCAAUCCCAAUCACCCCUUUGCCCUACCCUUUGCUUUUGAGUAGCCCUCGCCUUUGAGGUUCCUUCAAAGCAGAGGUUCCUUCAAAGCAGAGGGCCAAGGGAAAUUCUUCCCCUACAAAAUUGGCCAACCUUUCGAGACUAAGUUACGUCAUUAAUAGUCGUUUACGGAAAUAGAUCGCAACGAGUUU